CCGGUUGAUCCCGCCGGACCUUACUGCUAUCGGGGUGGGACUAAGACAUGCGAGUCGAGCGUCUCUAGCUAUGUUGAGACGCGGCAGACGGCUCAGUAACACGUGGCUAACCUACCCUCAGGACGAGGACAAACCCGGGAAACUGGGGCUAAUACUCGAUAGGUGAGUAUGUCUGGAAUGAUUUCUCACUCAAAGGGCAAUGGGAACAUGCUUCCAAUGUCGCCUGGGGAUGGGGCCGCGUCCGAUCAGGUUGUUGGUGAGGUAACGGCUCACCAAGCCUAUAACCGGUACGGGCCGUGAGAGCGGUAGCCCGGAGAUGGGUACUGAGACAAGGACCCAGGCCCUACGGGGCGCAGCAGUCGCGAAAACUCCGCAAUGCACGAAAGUGUGACGGGGCUACCCCGAGUGCCAUCCGCUGAGGUUGGCUUUUCUUUGGUAUAACUAGCCGAGGGAAUAAGGAGAGGGCAAGACUGGUGUCAGCCGCGCGCGGUAAUACCAGCUCUCCGAGUGGUAAGGAUGAUUAUUGGGCUUAAAGCGUCCGUAGCCGGCUUAGCAAGUCUCCUGUUAAAUUCAGCGACCUAAUCGUUGAGCCGCGGGAGAUACUACUAUGCUAGGAGGCGGGAGAGGUCGACGGUACUCCUGGGGUAGGGGUGAAAUCCUAUAAUCCCGGGAGGACCACCAGUGGCGAAGGCUGUCGACUAGAACGCGCUCGACGGUGAGGGACGAAAGCUGGGGGAGCGAACCGGAUUAGAUACCCGGGUAGUCCCAGCCGUAAACGAUGCGGGCUAGGUGUUGGAAUGGCUACGUGCCAUUUCAGUGCCGCAGGGAAGCCAUUAAGCCCGCCGCCUGGGGAGUACGGCCGCAAGGCUGAAACUUAAAGGAAUUGGCGGGGGAGCACCACAAGGCGUGAAGCUUGCGGUUCAAUUGGAUUCAACGCCGGGA
rnacentral:rRNA from 1 species